AGCUCCAAUAGCGUAUAUUAAAGUUGUUGCAGUUAAAAAGCUCGUAGUUGGAUAUCUGGUGGGAGCAAUGGGUCUCGCGCUUAGCGCGGGUACUUCAAUUGACUCCGGCCAUCCUUGGGGAGAGCCCGUCUGGCAUUAGGUUGUCGGGCGGGGGAUCCCCAUCGUUUACUGUGAAAAAAUUAGAGUGUUCAAAGCAGGCUUAUGCCGCUGAAUAUAUUAGCAUGGAAUAAUAAGAUAGGACUUUGGUACUAUUUUGUUGGUUUGUGUACCUAAGUAAUGAUUAAUAGGAACAGUCGGGGGUAUUCAUAUUCCGUUGUCAGAGGUGAAAUUCUUGGAUUUACGGAAGAUGAACUACUGCGAAAGCAUUUACCAAGGAUGUUUUCAUUA
rnacentral:rRNA from 2 species